AUUAUAGUAAUUUUUAUAUGGCAUUAGUCAAAAAUGGUACUCGAGUUUCCAAGUAACCCGUUUCAGAGAAAUUGCUGGGCAAUAUCUGAGGUAAUAACCCUACAUAUUCUCAGACUUGCGACAGGUUUUUUGUACUUUUGACAAAGUUCCGAGACGAGUCCAGGCAAUAAUUAUACACCAAAUUAAAGCUUAUAAAAUAUCCUAUCGAAUGGCAUUAGUCAAAAAUGGUACUCGAGUUUCCAAGUAACCCGUUUAAGAGAAAUUGCUGGGCAAUAUCUGCGGUAAUAACACUACAUAUAACACUGGAAAUAAGAAUGGCUGAAAUUCGAGGUUUAAAAUAGCAUUACUGGUCGUCAUUUGUCUAAAAAUUUUAAAUCAUGGCCUAUUUUAUGUAGUCCUAAAGGAUAUAAUCUGGUUUUUUGAAGAUUUUUUUAUGAAAUAUCCAGAAACAAAAAACUAUUAACAUAAUUGGCUAAACUUUAUUAAAAAGUGGAUUUUGUUUUCAAAUAACUUAUUGAGCUUACAUAGAAAUUUAGUGAAAGAUAAUUAUGCUAAUGACUUAUUAAAACAACUUGAUACUAUACAACUGAAUAUACUAGAACAAGCUACGCAUUGAAACUUCUAUUGAUUCCAUAUCUAGUACUAACUAAAUCUCAAAUGAAAACAAACAAAAAGUCUGGAAAAUCAUCGCUAGUUGAAUGUGUUUCAUCUUUUGUUAUAAAUGUUUCAGUAGGUUAUUAUUAUAAAUAUAUGAAUAGAUGCACACCUUUAAGUUCCUAAUUCAUUAAGUAUUUUAGUUUAUAUGAAUUUAAACUUGUGUCACAUUUAUAUGUUGUAUUGAAAUUAUUUAUAUAAAUAUUCAUUUUCAACAUUUAAAUGAUUCAGAAUUUAAAAUAAUUUACCUGACUUAACUCCAACUAUUAAAAGGGUUUAGGGUACUGGUAAAAUCUACGAGACUCUUAAAUAUAUUUUAU